GGGAGUCAGACUGCACGAGAUAAGUUGGGCGGUCAAAAGGGAAAGAGCCCAGACCUACAGUUAAGGUCCCAAAGUGCGCGUUAAGUGGAAAAGGAUGUGGGAUUUCGAAGACAACCAGGAUGUUGGCUCAGAAGCAGCCAUACAUUCAAAGAGUGCGUAAUAGCUCACUGGUCGAGAGGUCCUGCGCCGAAAAUGUCCGGGGCUGAAACGCGCCACCGAAACUAAGGAAUCUGAAAAGAUUGGUAGAGGAGCAUUGCAUGCGGGAAGAAGCAGUACCGGAAGGAGCUGUGGACUGCAUGGAAGAGAGAAUGCCGGAAUGAGUAGCGAGAUAGAGGUGGGAAUCCUCUAGGCCGAAUAUCCAAGGUUUCCAGGGUAAAGCUGAUCUGCCCUGGGUGAGUCGGGACCUAAGGUGAGGGCGAGAGCCGUAGCCGAUGGACAACAGGUUGAUAUUCCUGUACUGCAGUAUGACAGAACUGUGGGGACACGUAAGGAGAGCGGGAGCCGGGAAUGGAAAGCCCGGUACAAGCGAGGUACCAGUAUGGUAGGAAAAUCCGCCAUGCAAUGGGAAGACGUGAUGUGGAGCGAAGAUUAGUAGCGAAGCCCGUGAGCCAUGCGUCAAGAAAAGCCGCUAUCGUUCAUAUUGUACCCGUACCGUAAACCGACACAGGUGGAUGAGGAGAGAAUCCUAAGGCCGGCGGAAGAAGCAUUGUUAAGGAAUUCGGCAAAAUGACCCCGUAACUUCGGGAGAAGGGGUGCCUGCGAGAGCAGGCCGCAGAGAAUAGGCUCAAGCAACUGUUUAGCAAAAACACAGGUCUAUGCGAAACCGAAAGGUGAGGUAUAUGGGCUGACGCCUGCCCGGUGCUGGAAGGUUAAGAGGAGAGGUUAGCGCAAGCGAAGCUUUGAAUUUAAGCCCCAGUAAACGGCGGCCGUAACUAUAACGGUCCUAAGGUAGCGAAAUUCCUUGUCGGGUAAGUUCCGACCCGCACGAAAGGCGUAAUGAUUUGAGCGCUGUCUCGGCAAUACAUCCGGUGAAAUUGAAGUGCCAGUGAAGAUGCUGGCUACCCGCGCCAGGACGGAAAGACCCCAUGGAGCUUUACUCCAGUUUGGCACUGGGGUCCGGUGUUGCAUGUACAGGAUAGGUGGGAGGCUGAGAAACGGUAACGUCAGUUGCCGCGGAGCCGCUGUUGGGAUACCACCCUUGUGAUAUUGGGCUUCUAACCAGCCGCCGUAAUCCGGCGGUGGGACAAUGCCAGGCGGGGAGUUUGACUGGGGCGGUCGCCUCCGAAAGGGUAUCGGAGGCGCCCAAAGGUUCCCUCAGAAUGGACGGAAACCAUUCGAAGAGUGCAAAGGCAGAAGGGAGCUUGACUGCGACACCGACGG
rnacentral:rRNA from 1 species